rnacentral:misc_RNA from 1 species
ACUCUAUCAGUUUCAGAUCAGGCGCCAAAUUUGAGCAACAGAAAAAUGUGGAUCGCCGGUUGGUUUUGCGUGGCAUUUGUCGCCGUUGUUAGUGCCUCGUCUGAGGAUCCUGAGCUCGGUUCUGCUCGUGUCGUUUUCCAGACUAAUUAUGGGGACAUUGAGUUCGGAUUCUUCCCUUCUGUGGCGCCCAAAACUGUAGAUCAUAUUUUCAAGCUCGUUCGGCUUGGAUGCUAUAACACCAAUCAUUUCUUUCGGGUUGAUAAGGGGUUUGUUGCCCAAGUGGCGGAUGUUGUAGGUGGACGGUCUGCCCCAAUGAAUGAAGAACAACGAAAGGAAGCUGAAAAGACUGUCAUUGGUGAAUUUAGUGAUGUCAAGCAUGUGAGAGGCAUUCUUUCUAUGGGGAGAUAUUCUGAUCCAAAUAGUGCAUCAUCUUCAUUUUCAAUACUUCUUGGGGAUGCCCCUCAUCUUGAUGGCCAGUAUGCAAUAUUUGGUAAAGUUACUAAAGGGGAUGACACACUCACAAAGCUUGAGCAACUCCCUACUCGACGUGAAGGCAUCUUUGUAAUGCCGACUGAGCGCAUCACAAUUCUUUCAUCUUACUACUAUGAUACUGAGAUGGUGACUUGUGAAGAGGAAA